ensembl:lncRNA
CAGGAAAAAAGUUGUCAGGUCUCAGGAAAAAAGUUGUCAGGUAUCAGUCUCACACGAAAAAUUGUCAGGUCUCAGGAAAAAAGUUGUCAGGUCUCAGGAAAAAAGUUGUCAGGUAUCAGUCUCACACGAAAAAUUGUCAGGUCUCAGAAUCACACGAAAAAAUGUCAGGUAUCAGACUCACACGAAAAAUUGUCAGGUCUCAGGAAAAAAGUUGUCAAGUAUCAGACUCACAUGAAAAAACGUCAGGUAUCAGACUCACAUGAAAAAACGUCAGGUAUCAGACUCACAUGAAAAAACGUCAGGUCUCAGACUCACAUGAAAAAACGUCAGGUAUCAGACUCACAUGAAAAAAACGUCAG